GUUUACAGUACUACAGACUUGAUAGACAUUUUACUGUUUAAUAACAUAAAAUUAAUCAAAAUACGUUGGCAGUUCACAUUCAGAUUCUCACUGCCAUCUUGAAAUAGUGUUUCUUCUUUAGGUUCUCUGUACCUUAUUAUACAUGUUAGUGCUAUAAUUCUGUAUGCAGAUAACACAAUCUUAAAAGCCAGUUGUGAAACUUUGGAGACUAGGAUUUUGUUUAACUUUGUCCUGUACUGCAUAUGGAACUUGGCUAGGAAAGUAUAAUGCAGACAUAUAACCUCUCAGGUUAGCGUCCCAAGGAACUGAAAUCUCCAGAAUGGUUGAUGUGUGUUUUGCAAGCCCCACAGGUUAUGAGAUGGUUCUGGCUGCUGUGGUGCUGACAUGCACCUUCUUAAGAACAUAGAUCUGCAGAAGCAAUGUAUUGGAAGAUCUCCAGUUACAGGAUGGAGAAGCAGAUGCCGAAAAACUGCAGAGAUACCUAAUGCAGUCUGGAAUCAGCAGAACCUAUUAUUGUAAGAUACUGAGUGUUUUGCUAUGGCAGCCAGGCAGGCAUAGCUCAAUGUUAAGGAGAGGUUACCACCACUGCCUUGCCUUCUGAGGUGCAAAGUUGAGAAUACUGGGCUUUAAUGCCUGAUCUAAUUCUGUCACCCUUCAAAAUUAAACGAUGAUGUUAAGGAGGCUACUACAAGGUAGUAAGUUAAUGUAUUGGUUGGUUCGGUAGUAGACAGACUGAAAAAAAAAAAAGGGGGGGGAGGGUAUUUUUAGUGUCAGGCUACUUGAAUGUUUUCUGUUUCUCUUUUAAAUUGGAUUAAAAAAAAUGAAUUCAUGGUCACUGUCAUUGCUGAAACUAAUUAUUAAAAAUAAUACAAGUUACAAACUUCUAAUUCUUUUUUAAAAAUGACCUUUCAGCAUUCAGGUUAGAAACUUGAAGAGUUAUUCAUGUAGGAGAUAUGCUUGUACAUAUUAGGACUUCAGUGGAAUCUUGGCAUCACUUUGAAGCUGUUGGUGAUUAUGAGAAAAUUGAAUUUUAAAUUCUCUUAAACUGAUAACUUUUAAUACUAAUUUUGUUUGAGCGUUUAUAAUGGGGUGUAAAUACUGAUUGUGGAGAUGCAUUAUUUGUGUAACUGCUUUAUUUGAUUUGCAUGUCUUGCACUUUGUAAUUUUACAGAGUAGCUGCAUUCAUGUUAAGCUGACCACUAGCAGUAUAAGCAUUAGAAAUCAGGGCUUCCAUUAAACUUUCACAGUUUCUGGAAAGGAAAAUUAAGAUAAAGGUAUGGUCAUCAUUCCUGAUGGUGUGUUUAACUUAAUGUUUUUAACUUAAUGCAUGCAACUGUAAUGAAAUCAUCAAAAUAUCCGUAAAAAUAAUUUAUCUUAGUAUUAACAUACAAUUCAAUUUGCAUCUUAAUAUUGAAAGCAUAAUUCUUUAGCUGAUAUUCACUGCUCUUCUAUUCUACUGCAGAUUAUUAUUGUGAAUAGUCCUGCUUGUUAGUGCUGUAACUACUUUAUUGCUAUGGGAAGUUAUUGGUAGACUGUAGGUAGCAAGAUGUGAACUGUUCAGCUGACUGAAUAAUUUUUGGACAUGCUCUAACUAAUACUAUGAAAUGAGAUUAAGGAAUCAGUUUUGUUGCUAAAAAUCCAAAAGCAGCCUUGACUAUCUCUUCAUACAAUUUUGUGAAUGCUUUUCAUCUAGUAGAUAAGUUAAUUCUAAUACUUAAACUUGUGGUUCCCUCCAUCUGUCAGGAUGGAAGUAGGCCAUUCCUUUUGAAUUUCACUGAUGGUUAGUGUAAUUGUACUUGUCACGCUUCCAAAAUCUCCAAACACUGACUUGCCUAUUGCUGCUGCUUCUAGUUCUUGCAGUGAACCAUGGUAUUCUGGGUGCUGAACUGCUGGAGGAAGAGAGGACCACUAACCUGUCAGAAGUUCAUGUUUGGAAGAACUGCUGUAAAUGGAAGCUAUUAUAUAGUUUUUAACCUUUCUGCUUGACAAGACAACGCGCUUUGAAUGAAUACUUAGAUUUUUAAGUGCAUGAUUCACAGCAAUAAAUAUUUUUUGCAUUUUACUAUAUUUAGAAGCAUGGCUUUUUUUAUCUGUACGUGUAUAAUUCCAGACAAGUAAAUUUCUGUGUUAAGUUCAAGAGCUUAGUGAAAAGGAAAAGCUUAUGGUCAUACAUAAUAGGCUGUGUCUUAUAAAUGGGUAGCUUGCUUACACAAAUAAAACAUGAGACACCCUAAA